rfam:Myotis davidii contig29213, whole genome shotgun sequence.
GAUGGUUCUCAGGUAACACCCUGGAAUCAGGCUCCCUCCUCUCUGGUUCUGGGUGUGUCACCUGAGAACCGCA